AUGGAGUUGACUGUCAGUGAUGUAGGUGAACUACUCACAGUUACAUCAAAAGAUAAAGAUAAACUACAUCAAAAUAAAAAUAGUAAUGCCAAUUCUGAUAAAAUAUCAGCAAAUUUCAGAAGAGUAAAAUAUUCUAAAGAGAAAACUAAAAGCAAGCCUAAAGUAAGUUCAAAUUCAUAUGCAGAAGAAAGGUACCCUAAGACUGACAGUAGUACAGAUUCAAAAAUUAAUGACUCAGGAACUCAAAUAUUCCAAAAUCAGACAGAACAGCUACCUACAGGGAAUUCCUUAGAGAAACCGAGUUUAAAAAAUACCAGCAAAUAUUAUCGAGCACAGGAUUGCCCAAGUAAAGCUAAAGAUACUAGGAGGACAUACUUGGUUAACCUAGUGAAUCCAAGGAAACAAGAACAGGAGACAAAUCAAGAAACUUUCCCAGAAAGGUUUGAAGAUGUGGAAAACAAAAUACAAAAAUCAGACUCUAACACUUCUAAUAAUAAGAUCUCACCUGAAGUUUAUUGUGCUGAAAGUUUUCCAUUCCAGGAUAACACCUCUAAUGCAUUGUCUUUACAGCAGGACUUUCUACAUACAAAUGAGAAACGUAUCAGCCCAGAAAUGAACAGGAAAGCCUUUCAGAACCCUUCUAAAAAGAACGCAACAAAAUAUUGUAGAGAGGAAAAUGGACAGUAUAGAGAAUAUGGUUCAAAAAAAUCUCAAACAGAGGUAUGCCAACAUGACUGGAAGAGAAGAGAAGAGCAGAAGAAUAUUAUAAAGAAAAAAUACAACCAAAAAUGUAGUUACAGACGAAGUGGAGAAACUGAAAGUGGUAGUGUUCAUAAAGUUAUUCAGAAAAUAGACCGAAGGAAUAAUAAUGUUUCAUCAGGCAGAUUUAAACAUACAUUAGCAAAAGCUAGCCGGAAAGCAUGUAUAAUACCAACAGAAAACCUUAAGCAAUUCACACUUCGUAGAACUGAAGGGUUAAAAAAUAAGAAUGCAUUGUGCACAGAUGUUGUCCAUGGAAAUAAAAUAGCUAAAACACAGCAAGUACAAGGAGCUUUAGAUUCUCAGAAUGGUGUAGCUAUGAAUACACUGCAAGCUAGUUCCUCCACAAAACAGGUGGCUGAUGACAGUACUGACAUGUUAAAGAAAGAGGUAGAUCCCUCAUCAGUGGCACAUAAAAAGCCUUACCUUAUUAAUUCUCCUGAUGAUCAGGUAAAGAACCAAGGGAGCUUCAUUUCUGAUUUUACUGAGAUCAGACCAGAAGAAAAGGAUUUCAGGAAUGUUGACCAAGGGGAGCAGAAUAUUUUGGACAACCAGAAAGUCCUGCCUGAGAUAAGUUCCUUUAUGAGCAAUUUAAAGUCUACAGUUCAAAAAUCAGAAUUUUUAAAAUUCUUACCUGUAGACUGCUCUGAGAAUAUGCCAUUAAGUUCAGGUAGCUUUUUUCAGGAAGGUCUUCCCCAUGUGGAGUUCCCAGUUGUUGAUUACCAUAAUGUUUCAGUGAACUUCUCUAUCCUGAAAAACUCUGAAAUCUGUGGAAAAAAUGAUCAUACUAAAACACUGGAUGCUGAAAUAGCAGAGCAAAAACUGGAUCAUACUUCUACAGAAACUUAUAAAAAGUCUCUGUCACUUUGUCAUGGUAAGUUUAUGGGAGACAGAAAAUAA
ensembl:lncRNA